GACGAACGCUGGCGGCGGGCUUAACACAUGCAAGUCGAACGGAAAGGCCCUGCUAUUGUGCGGUUCUCGAGUGGCGAACGGGUGCGUAACACGUGAGUAACGUGCUCUAGACUUUGGGAUAACUUCAGGAAACUAGGGCUAAUACCGGAUAGCAUCUGCUGCAGCGGUGUGAGGGGGGGAACUUCUCGGCUGGCGGGGAUGGACGGGCGGAUGAUGGGUUAGCUGGUGGGGGAGGGGCUGACCAAGGCUUUGACCGGUAGGCGGCAGGGGAGGGUGAACGGCCACCUUGGUACUGCGAUACGGCGCAGACUCCAACGGGAGGCAGCGGGCGGGAGUAUUGCCCAAUGGGACGACGUGUGAUGCAGAAGCCCUGCGGUCGUGAAGACGGCCUUUGGGGUGUGAACCGCGUUAGCCUGUGACGAAGCUUGAGUGACGGUAAUGGGUAAAGAAGCACCGGCUAACUACGUG
rnacentral:rRNA from 1 species